UGGGUAACCUGCCUCAAAGAGGGGAAUAGCCUCCCGAAAGGGAGAUUAAUACCGCAUAAUAUGUUUAAGUCGCAUGACUUUAACAUCAAAGGAUUUUCUUUUAGAAAUUCCACUUUGAGAUGGACCCGCGGCGCAUUAGCUAGUUGGUGAGGUAACGGCUCACCAAGGCAACGAUGCGUAGCCGACCUGAGAGGGUNAUCGGCCACAUUGGAACUGUGACACGGUCCAGACUCCGUAGGAGG
rnacentral:rRNA from 1 species